rnacentral:lncRNA from 1 species
UUAGCUCUUUAUGAAAAUUUUAUCAAUAGAUAAGCAGUUUAAUAAAUUUUAAUUAUUAAGAUCCACAUAUCAUUCAUUACAUACAAGUUAAUGCAUUUAUAAGGUGUAAUUUUAAAUGUUGAUGUCUGUAGUUUAUAAUUUGAAAAUUUUGAUUUAUUUUCUUAAAAUUCUCUCUCCAUUUUUGGUUUUUAUUUUCUUUAAUAUAUUUUAUAAAUACAUAUCUUUUCCUUUUCUUUUUUGUAAUAUUUGGUCAUUUUAUUUAUUUUAAAAAAAUUUAUCAAUCUUUGGUUCAACAUUAUUAUAAGAACAUGCAUCUUCAUCUUUUGUCGCUGUUUUUUUUCUGGUUUAUUAUUCUUUUAUUCUUAAUAUAUUGUUCUUCUUUUCAAAACAAAAUAGAUGAAAGAGAGAUUUGAGUGAUUGUUAUUAUGAAUGAGAAAAAAGUAUUUCACCGAUUGCAUGUUCUUAAUCCAUGUUGGUAUGUUGGUCAUCUUUUUUUUUUUUUUUUUUAUUUAUGCUUUCAGUCCUUUGCUUUAAGAAUUGGCAUUUAUUGAUCAUUUCUUUAACUUUGAAGGACAAAUAUAGUAUUCUUUUAAAACACAAUUACACCAUGGUUGAUGAUGCUUGAGAAAGUGAUGUAUUGCAUUAGAUGAUUGACAAUUGAAGGUGUAAAUAUUAUUGUUGCUGGUGACACAUUAUUGGAUUAACUUUAGAUAACUGAAUUUGAGACCCUUGAUUCCUUACAUAUGAAAAUGUCCAGGACUCCAGGUUCAACCAUCCUAAAUUUCUAACUACCAAGAAUAACAGUAACAGCCACUCCAUCACCAAGUUCAAGCUUUGCGAUAGUAACAACUCUCGUUACUAACUCAUUAUCCUCUUUCACCUUCUCAUAAAAAGUUACAUAUGGUAUCUUUAAAUUUGUUUUCCUACGUGCUUGUCUAAUUAACAAAAUUAUUUUUCUUUGGUAACUAUUUGUUUUUUUAUUAAUAAAUGAGUAAAGGUGAUAUUCUAUCCCUUCCAAGUUGUAUGACAAUUUGAUUUCGAAAAGCAAACAAUUGUGUAAGUAGGUAAUGAAAUGGAAGACGAAGUAUUGGAGCUAAGCUUGGGUGUCGAAUAAAGAAGACUGCACGAAAGGAGAAUUUGAAAUUUCGUGAUAUAAUUUGCUUGAGGAGUGGAUGAAAUAGGUAUGUACACUUUGUUUUAUUGUGAUCAUGAUUAUUAUUAUAGGAUAGUUUUAUCUUCUUCGCUUGUUUUAGAGUAGUAAUUUUUUUGAGUUGUUGGUCUGUUUAACAAGAUAGUGAUGGAGUUAUGUUUUGUUUUAAGCCUUUGUAACUGUUGUUGCCCUCGUGUCUCUUAAUAGAUUUAAUGGGUGAUUUCUUAUUAAAAAAAAAAAUAAGAUGGAGGCAAGAGAAGGUAUUAACUCAAAGGUUAUGGCAAUAGGAGCAUAAGGUACUUUUUUGGGUUUUUUUUUUCAUUUGACAAUUUUAUUGUUUUAACUGUCGUUAAUGUUAUUGGCAUUGAUAAUUACUAUUAUUGGUUUGAGAGAAAUUUUGACAUGGUAUUAAUAUUUAUUAAACUAUGGCUUAUGUGUGAUUUUUUAUUGGAGGAUAGAGUGUGACUAAAGAUUAUUGUUAUUAUUUCUGAUCAGGCACAAAAAUUACAUCAAGGAAGAAUGGAGCUUCUACUACCUAAGG